UACGUAGGUGGCAAGCGUUGUCCGGAUUUACUGGGCGUAAAGGAUGCGUAGGCGGAUAUUUAAGUCAGAUGUGAAAACCCCGGGCUCAACUUGGGGACUGCAUUUGAAACUGGAUAUCUAGAGUGCGGGAGAGGAAAGUGGAAUUCCUAGUGUAGCGGUGAAAUGCGUAGAGAUUAGGAAGAACACCAGUGGCGAAGGCGACUUUUUGGACCGUAACUGACGCUGAGGCAUGAAAGCGUGGGGAGCAAACAGG
rnacentral:rRNA from 1 species